rnacentral:rRNA from 1 species
CUACGGGUUGCUCCAGUGAGGAAUAUUGCACAAUGGGGGGAACCCUGAUGCAGCAACGCCGCGUGGAGGAUGACGCAUUUCGGUGUGUAAACUCCUUUUAUAUGUCAAGAAAAUGACGGUAGCAUAUGAAUAAGCACCGGCUAACUCCGUGCCAGCAGCCGCGGUAAUACGGAGGGUGCAAGCGUUACUCGGAAUCACUGGGCGUAAAGGACGCGUAGGCGGGUUGGAAAGUCAGGUGUGAAAUCCUACAGCUUAACUGUAGAACUGCACUUGAAACUUCUAAUCUAGAGUAUGGGAGAGGGGGAUGGAAUUAGUGGUGUAGGGGUAAAAUCCGUAGAUAUCACUAGGAAUACCUAAAGCGAAGGCGAUCUCCUGGAACAUUACUGACGCUAAGGCGUGAAAGCGUGGGGAGCAAACAGGAUUAGAUACCCGCGUAGUC